rnacentral:rRNA from 1 species
UCAGGCCUAACACAUGCAAGUCGAACGGCAGCACGGGAGCAAUCCUGGUGGCGAGUGGCGAACGGGUGAGUAAAGUAUCGGAACGUGCCCAGUCGUGGGGGAUAACGUAGCGAAAGCUACGCUAAUACCGCAUGAGAUCUGCGGAUGAAAGCGGGGGAUCGAAAGACCUCGCGCGACUGGAGCGGCCGAUAUCAGAUUAGGUAGUUGGUGGGGUAAAGGCCUACCAAGCCUGCGAUCUGUAGCUGGUCUGAGAGGACGACCAGCCACACUGGGAGUGAGACACGGCCCAGACUCCUACGGGAGGCAGCAGUGGGGAAUUUUGGACAAUGGGCGAAAGCC